GACGAACGCUGGCGGCGUGCCUAAUACAUGCAAGUAGGACGCAGUUGCGAACGUGUGAUUAACGCGUAGGUAACUACCUAUUAGUGGGGGCUAACUAUUGGAAACGAUAGCGAAUACCGCAUACUAGUAGAGGGACCUGCGUUGUAUUAGCUAGUAGGUCGGGUAAUAGCCUACCUAGGCAACGAUACAUAGCCGACCUGGGAUGGUGAUCGGCCAAACUGGGACGGAGACAAGGCCCAGACUCCUACGGGAGGCAGCAGUAGGGAAUCUUCGGAAAUGGGGGGAAACCUGAACGAGGAACGCCGCGUGAGUGAAGAAGGUUUUCGGAUCGUAAAGCUCUGUUGUUCAGGAAGCGGUACUUAACCAGAAAGGGACGGCUAACUACGUGCCAGCAGCCGCGGUAAUAC
rnacentral:rRNA from 1 species